AUCCAGCUGACGAGUUCCAAAUAGGACGAAACGCGCAUGCUGGAU
rfam:Schistosoma mansoni strain Puerto Rico chromosome 5, complete genome